rnacentral:rRNA from 1 species
CCAUUACGCUGGCGGCGUGUUUACACAUGCAAGUCGAACGAAGCUGCUUAAAGGAAGUCUUCGGAUGGAAUUUAGGUAGACUUAGUGGCGGACGGGUGACUAACGCGUGGAUAACCUGCCUUAUAGAGGGGGAUAACGGAGAGAAAUUUCCGCUAAGACCGCAUAAGACCACAGCACCGCGUGGUGCAGGGGCAAAAUAUUUAUAACUAUAAGAUGGAUCCGCGUUCGAUUAGCUAGCUGGUGAGGUAAAGGACCAUCAAUGUGAGGAUUGAUAGCCGGCCUGAGAUGGUGAACGGGCACAUUGGGACUGACACCCGCGCCAAGCUCCUACGGGAGGCCUUAGGGGGGAAUAGCAGACCAGGGCGAGAAACGCUGACCGAGCGACGACGGGUUACUGAUCAUCUAGUUCGGUAGUCAAAUCUCAUCUCAGUGUGGGAAGAGAAAGUCGGCACCUGACUAAGAAGCCCCGGCUAACUACGUGCCAGCAGCCGCGGUAAUACGUAGGGGGCAAGCGUUAUCCGGAUUUACUGGGUGUAAAGGGAGCGCAGACGGCAAUGCAAGUCUGAAGUGAAAGGCGUGGGCUCAACCCAUGAACUGCUUUGGAAACUGUAUAGCUUGAGUGUCGGAGGGGUAAGCGGAAUUCCUAGUGUAGCGGUGAAAUGCGUAGAUAUUAGGAGGAACACCGGAGGCGAAGGCGGCUUACUGGACGACAACUGACGUUGAGGCUCGAAGGCGUGGGGAGCAAACAGGAUUAGAUACCCUGGUAGUCCACGCAGUAAACGAUGAAUACUUGGUGCCGGGGAGGUAAACUCUUCGGUGCCGCAAGCUAACGCAUUAAGUAUUCCACCUGGGGAGUACGUUCGCAAGAAUGAAACUCAAAGGAAUUGACGGGGACCCGCACAAGCGGUGGAGCAUGUGGUUUAAUUCGAAGCAACGCGAGGAACCUUACCAAAUCUUGACAUACUCUUGAAUAGCUUUGUAAUGAAGCUAGUCUUUCGGGACAAGGGAUACAGGUGGUGCAUGGUUGUCGUCAGCUCGUGUCGUGAGAUGUUGGGUUAAGUCCCGCAACGAGCGCAACCCUUGUCGUCAGUAGCCAGCAGUAAGAUGGGCACUCUGACGAGACAGCCGGAGAUAAUCCGGAGGAAGGUGGGGAUGACGUCAAAUCAUCAUGCCCCUUAUGAUUUGGGCUACACACGUGCUACAAUGGCGUAAACAAAGUGAAGCAAAGCCGCGAGGUCAAGCAAAUCACAAAAAUAACGUCUCAGUUCGGAUUGUAGUCUGCAACUCGACUAUAUGAAGCUGGAAUCGCUAGUAAUCGCAGAUCAGAAUGCUGCGGUGAAUACGUUCCCGGGUCU